rnacentral:rRNA from 1 species
GAUCAUGGCUCAGGAUGAACGCUGGCGGCGUGCCUAACACAUGCAAGUCGAGCGAAGCGGUUUUAAGGAAGUUUUCGGAUGGAAUUAAAACUGACUGAGCGGCGGACGGGUGAGUAACGCGUGGGUAACCUGCCUCAUACGAGGGGGAUAACAGUUAGAAAUGGCUGCUAAUACCGCAUAAGCACACAGCUUCGCAUGGAGCAGUGUAGAAAACGUCCGGUGGUAUGAGAGUCGGACCCGUCG